ensembl:lncRNA
UAACAUUGCUGAGCAGCCACUUUUUCCAGACAAACCACUGUAAAAAUCAGCACAAGAAGAAACAGCAAAUGGCACAUCAGAGCUGAAAGCACAUUGUCUUAGCAUUGCCCUUGGGAAAUUUAUCCUCCUAAAAGCAGCAGCUUUGUCACUUAUGAUGCAACUAUGUCAUCACUCACUGUGGGAAAUGGAGGUUUUGCUCUCCCCUCUUCCAUACCCGUAUUGCCAUGUGCAAUGGAAAUGCUAAGUCAUGGAGUGAAGCAGUGAUGGAGCACCUGGUGGAAGGCAGGGCCAUGCCAGGAGGGCUCAGGUGUGUGCAAUGGCCCUGAGCGACCAGAAGAGGUGGAGCCAGGAUCCAUGCCCUCCCAGACCUCAUUUAAGGGUUGGCAGUGGAGGUGAGAGUAUCUUGCUGGGGAUCCCUGUGUACCUGAGGCCUUCUGAAGCAGAUUAAUGGCCGCUAUUUAAUAUGUUCUUGUGAACCUGCAUGGAUCGUCACAGUGGCAACUGUCCUUACACAGCCUGCUUCAUCUGUCUGUGAACUGCUCCUGGGAGGAGUGCUCUUGAAAGAUUAACCGGGCGGUUUAAAGAGAAGAUCCCAGGAGUAUCCAGAAAGAGAAUGCUGUGUCAUGUUGGGCAAGGGAGGAUCAAAAGGACUACAGGAGCCCACAGCAAAGGAAGAGCACACAGAGUGGUCAGCACAGAGGGCUGGAGGGCAGGCUGGAUUUAAGAGCUGACUAGAAAUUCCAGUACUUCCAGCUAGACACCAGCAGUACUAUUGUUAGUUCACAACUUAUGGUAGAUUGCUGAGCAAAACCAGCGUUACAAACACUGUGCUUUAGGGAUAGGACUGCAAAACUGCCGUACCAAAGGCUAUCUUGAUUUCAUCCGUGGCCUUGUGAGGCUGCCAUCACACACACAUCCCCUGUGCUGCCUCAGUGCCUGCAGGCUGGGCUUUGCCCCAGAGGUGGCUGCUGCAGCCCUGCCAGCAGAUGCCCGCCUCGGGCAUUCUGUGCAGCUGCUACCUCACUCUCUUCUUUUGCAGAUUUUGCUAACUCUCACCUCCAAUUUAAUUCCCUCUCCUUGACAGGGAGUACAGCAGAAAUGAAACUUCAGAAUUUCGCUUUCGUUUGUGUAUGUUUCUCCUUCUUCUUGUUUAAUGGAUAUCUCCCAGCAGGAGCUGGUGGGACUGGUGAGUCCUUCCAAGAUCCGUCGUCUCACAACUGGGCAGCAUGAUAUGCUUCAGACAGCCACAAAGAAACCCUUCAAACCCUGGAAUAAAAUUUAUAUGAAAAGCACAUCGGUACAAAGGUACAUCUGUAUCCACAGGCAACAGUGAUUACAUCUGAUUAUUUUUAGUGUAAAUACAUUUUCAGAAUAAAAGGCACACAGCAGCUUUAAACUACUUAGCUGAACACGCUCCUCCUGCACCUGUGGGAUUUUAAUAUUCCUGUGCUUUUAACAGCAUUGCACCACAGGGAUGAGAUCAGUGACUGAUCCAUUUUACUGAGUUUGAAAAAUGUAAUUUAGGAAGGGUUAUUAUUGCAGGAAUGAAGUAGAAAUCUCGUUGGUAAUUAUACCUCUUUACGUGUUUGAAGACCAUAAAUUUUAUUUUCCUGACGCCUGAAAGAAAAUAAACUUUAACACAGAUCUUCCAAGGAAGAAACACAAACUUUUUCAGCCCACAACUUGAAUGGGUCCACCUCAAGGGGGCCAAAAAAGAGCAAACAGUAGCUGUGCAGCAGUGAUCCCAGACAGGAGGCUGCAGCAGACCAACAGUGGGUAGACUUGGCAGGGCUGGGGUGUUGCUGGUCCCAUGUGGGAGCAGAGCCACAUUCAGCAGCACCACACAAUUUUUGGGAAGCAUAAAUCAGUCAGCAUCAUCUCAGCACUUGAUAUGUAACUUCGAUAAAACUGAGAGGAGAGUUGAAUUAACCAGCGAGCAGCAAUGCAGGGACAGACUAUCAGCCACGGAGAGGCUCAAUCACUGCGCAGCUACUCGACAUGAGAGAGCCUGGUCUUUGCAGUGAAACCUCCCUGUCAGAGUGAUUCACAUCAGUUAUUCUUUCUCUUUCCUAUUUGCUGCUAUCAGAAUCCGGAAGAGUCAGCGCAUGAUCAAGUGCUUCUUUGAUCUCCCGUGUAUGUGAAGACAGAAAUAUCCAAGCUGAAGAACUGAGCCCCAUGGGUCUGACAAAGGAUUCAAUUACAACCCAUGGAAUUCAGUUCUCAAAGCUGAGGAUACACGACAUUCGUUUCAAGGCCGUUCUGAUGUGCAGCACUAUCUCAUCCUCUGCUCUCUCUCCCCGGUGCUUGGCUUUCCUCCAGGUGCUGUAAAACAGAAGAGGGAAAUCUUCACUGCAGCCAAAGCAACUCUAUCCAGAC